ACGUAGGGUGCGAGCGUUAAUCGGAAUUACUGGGCGUAAAGCGUGCGCAGGCGGUUUCACAAGCUCGAUGUGAAAGCCCCGGGCUUAACCUGGGAAUGGCAUUGAGGACUGUGGAGCUUGAGUGCGGCAGAGGGAGGUGGAAUUCCACGUGUAGCAGUGAAAUGCGUAGAGAUGUGGAGGAACACCGAUGGCGAAGGCAGCCUCCUGGGCCAGCACUGACGCUGAAGCACGAAAGCGUGGGGAGCAAACAGGA
rnacentral:rRNA from 1 species